rnacentral:rRNA from 1 species
UAAUACGGAGGGUGCGAGCGUUACCCGGAUUUACUGGGCGUAAAGGGCGUGUAGGCGGCCCGUUAAGUCCGGUGUCAAAGCCCACGGCUCAACCGUGGAAAGGCGCCGGAUACUGGCGGGCUAGACGGACGGAGGGGGUAGCGGAAUUCCCGGAGUAGCGGUGAAAUGCGUAGAUACCGGGAGGAACGCCGAUAGCGAAGGCAGCUACCUGGACGUCCCGUGACGCUGAGGCGCGAAAGCGUGGGGAGCAAACCGGAUUAGAUACCCGGGUAGUCCACGCCCUAAACGAUGAGUGCUGGGUGUCGGGCUUUGGCUCGGCGCCGUAGCUAACGCGUUAAGCACUCCGCCUGGGGAGUACGGCCGCAAGGCUG